AUACGUAGGGAGCGAGCGUUGUCCGGAAUUACUGGGUGUAAAGGGAGCGUAGGCGGGACUGCAAGUCAGAUGUGAAAUACCGGGGCUUAACCCCGGAGCUGCAUUUGAAACUGUGGUUCUUGAGUGAAGUAGAGGCAAGCGGAAUUCCUGGUGUAGCGGUGAAAUGCGUAGAUAUCAGGAGGAACACCGGUGGCGAAGGCGGCUUGCUGGGCUUUUACUGACGCUGAGGCUCGAAAGCGUGGGGAGCAAACAGGAUUAGAUACCCUGGUAGUCCACGCCGUAAACGAUGAUACUAGGUGUGGGGGGACUGACCCCUUCCGUGCCGCAGUUAACACAAUAAGUAAUCCACCUGGGGAGUACGGCCGCAAGGCUAAAACUCAAAUGAAUUGACGGGG
rnacentral:rRNA from 1 species